rnacentral:lncRNA from 1 species
GCACCCACUGAAGCUCCACAUCAGCACCCAUCGCAGCCCCACAUCAGCACCAAUCACAGCCCCACACUGGCACCCAUCACAGCCCCACAUCAGCACCCAUCGCAGCCCCACGUGGGCCCCCCACCCCAUCUCCAAGAGGUCAGCUGUGCCCCUUAAUGCCAUGGGAUGCCUGGGGUGCCCCCACAACCCCCACCGUACCCCCAAAAGACCCCCACCCUCCCCCUGCGCCCCCACCCUCGCCCUGCACCCAUCCCCGUGCGCAGAUCCACUCCCUCCCUGCUGGCAGCGCUGGGUGCUGAUAGGGACGCGGUGCAAUUCCUGCCCCCGUGCACAGAAUGGGGCCGAGGGCUGCAGCAGAGCAGCACCCAAAGCCAGUGGAGAUGCGGGCAACGAUAGACAGCGGUGUGCCUUGCAAUUAACAGCCCAGCCUGACGAGCAGCCCUGUGACGGAGCAUCCCUGUGACGGAGCAUCCCGGCCCCAUUCCAAUGCCAUUCCCAUUUCCAUCCCAUCCCUAUUCCCAUCACACUCCCAUUUCCAUCCCAUCCCCAUUUCCAUCCCAUUCCCACUCCCAUUUCCAUCCCAUCCCCAUUUUCACCCCACUCCCAUUCCCAUCCCAUCCCCAUUCCCAUCCCAUUCUCAUUUCCAUCCCAUUCCCACUCCAAUUCCAGUCCCAUUUCCAUCCCAUCCCCAUUUCCAUCCCAUUCCCAUUCCCAUCUCCACCCCAGUCCCAUUCCCAUCCCAGUCCAAUUCCCAUCCCCAUUUCCAUCUCAGUCCCAUCUCCAUCCCAUUCCCAUUCCCAUCCCAAUGCCAUUUCCAUCCCAUUCCAACUCCAAUCCCAUUCCCAAUCCCAUCCAAGUCCAAUUCCCAUCCCCAUCCCCAUUUCCACCCCACUCCCAUUCCCAUCCCAUCCCAUCCCCAUUCCCAUUUCCAUCCCAUUCCCAUUUCCAUCCCAUUCCCAUCCCAGUCCAAUUCCCAUCCCACUCCCAUUUCCAUCCCAUUCCCACGCCAAUCCCAUUCCCAUGCCAUCCCCAUUCCCACUCCCACCCCAAUCCCAUUCCUAUCCCCCUCCCAUUUCCACCCCUUUCCCGUUUCCACCUCAGUCCCAUUUCCAUCCCAGUGGAAUGGGGUGGGAAUGGGAAUGGGGUGGGAAUGGGAUGGGAUCAGGACUGGGAUCGGGAUCAGAUGGGGAUGGAGAUGGGGAUGAGGAUAUGGGAUGGGGAUGGGAUGGGGAUAUGGGAUGGAUGGGAUGGGAUGGGACGGGGUGGGGAUAUAGGAUGGAUUGGAUGGGAUGGGAUGGGGAU